UCCGAGUUGACCCCGGCAGUCUCCCAUGAGUCCCCGGCAUAACCCGCUGGCAACAUGGAACGAGGGUUGCGCUCGUUGCGGGACUUAACCCAACAUCUCACGACACGAGCUGACGACAACCAUGCACCACCUGUAAACCGGCCACAAGUGGCCGACACAUCUCUACGGCUUUUCCCUACAUGUCAAACCCAGGUAAGGUUCUUCGCGUUGCCUCGAAUUAAGCAACAUGCUCCGCCGCUUGUGCGGGCCCCCGUCAAUUCCUUUGAGUUUUAGCCUUGCGGCCGUACUCCCCAGGCGGGGCGCUUAAUGCGUUAGCUGCGGCACGGAACUCGUGGAAUGAGCCCCACACCUAGCGCCCAACGUUUACGGCGUGGACUAC
rnacentral:misc_RNA from 1 species